rnacentral:rRNA from 1 species
AUUGAACGCUGGCGGCAUGCCUUACACAUGCAAGUCGAACGGCAGCACGGGAGCAAUCCUGGUGGCGAGUGGCGAACGGGUGAGUAAUGCAUCGGAACGUGCCAUUGAGUGGGGGAUAACGUAGCGAAAGUUACGCUAAUACCGCAUAUUCUGUGCGCAGGAAAGCAGGGGAUCGCAAGACCUUGCGCUCUUUGAGCGGCCGAUGUCAGAUUAGCUAGUUGGUGGGGUAAAGGCUCACCAAGGCGACGAUCUGUAGUUGGUCUGAGAGGACGACCAGCCACACUGGGACUGAGACACGGCCCAGACUCCUACGGGAGGCAGCAGUGGGGAAUUUUGGACAAUGGGCGCAAGCCUGAUCCAGCAAUGCCGCGUGCAGGAAGAAGG